CACACGGCUGCAGUGACUUGCCCAAGGACACUGCCGGGGCUUGAGUGUUGGAGGACUUGAGCCUUAGAGUGUUGAACACUUAGAAGUGUUGAAGAGCUAGUUUGAGAACUAGCUCUGCCAUGAGCUGUGACACAAUGGCCAUUAUCUUGUUGCGCCUUGAGUAUAUUAUCCCUAAAAUGGGAUAAUUGCUGCCCUGCCUGUAUUAUGUGAUUAUUGAAGAACGGAGUGAAGAAACAGCUAUUCUAGCAAAUAUUUACUGAGUGCUUACUUUCCGAAUGUUCUAAUCCUUCACGCAACCCAACCGCUUCUGACAGCAGUCCUGCCGCUUAGACGGAGUUUCACCACGUCUCAAACUCCUGGCUUGUCUCAAACUCCUAACCUCAAGUGAUCCGCCCGCCUAUUUGAUGAUAAAGUUUGCUGAUCCUGCCCUAGACUAUAAGCUCCAGGAGAGCAGAGACCGCGUCUCUUUCAUCUACUCUGCAUCUCAAUACCUGACUUGGUGCCUGGCUUGAAAUCCAUGGAUAUUUGAAAUGGCCUUGAAAAAUAUGGGAACUGCAUGGAG
rnacentral:antisense_RNA from 1 species